rnacentral:rRNA from 1 species
AGUGAACGCUGGCGGUAGGCCUAACACAUGCAAGUCGAACGGCAGCACAGUAAGAGCUUGCUCUUACGGGUGGCGAGUGGCGGACGGGGGAGGAAUACAUCGGAAUCUACUUUUUCGUGGGGGAUAAUGUAGGGAAACUUACGCUAAUACCGCAUACGACCUACGGGUGAAAGCAGGGGAUCUUCGGACCUUGCGCGAUUGAAUGAGCCGAUGUCGGAUUAGCUAGUUGGCGGGGUAAAGGCCCACCAAGGCGACGAUCCGUAGCUGGUCUGAGAGGAUGAUCGGCCACACUGGAACUGAGACACGGUCCAGACUCCUACGGGAGGCGGCAGUGGGGAAUAUUGGACAAUGGGCGCAAGCCUGAUCCAGCCAUACCGCGUGGGUGAAGAAGGUCUUCGGGUUGUAAAGCCCUUUUGUUGGGAAAGAAAAGCAGCAGGUUAAUACGCCGCUGUUCUGACGGUACCCAAAGAAUAAGCACCGGCUAACUUCGUG